rnacentral:rRNA from 1 species
UAGGGAAUCUUCCGCAAUGGACGCAAGUCUGACGGAGCAACGCCGCGUGAGUGAGGAAGGCCUUCGGGUCGUAAAGCUCUGUUGCCAGGGAAGAAUGUCGAGGAGAGUAACUGCUCUUCGAAUGACGGUACCUGAGAAGAAAGCCCCGGCUAACUACGUGCCAGCAGCCGCGGUAAUACGUAGGGGGCAAGCGUUGUCCGGAAUUAUUGGGCGUAAAGCGCGCGCAGGCGGCUUUGUAAGUCUGGUGUUUAAACCCGAAGCUCAACUUCGGGUCGCAUUGGAAACUGCAAGGCUUGAGUGCAGAAGAGGAAAGUGGAAUUCCACGUGUAGCGGUGAAAUGCGUAGAGAUGUGGAGGAACACCAGUGGCGAAGGCGACUUUCUGGGCUGUAACUGACGCUGAGGCGCGAAAGCGUGGGGAGCAAACA